CGCCAGACUCCUACGGGAGGCAGCAGUGGGGAAUAUUGCACAAUGGGGGGAACCCUGAUGCAGCGACGCCGCGUGGGUGAGGAAGUACUUCGGUAUGUAAAGCCCUAUCAGCAGGGAAGAAAAUGACGGUACCUGACUAAGAAGCCCCGGCUAACUACGUGCCAGCAGCCGCGGUAAUACAUAGGGAGCAAGCGUUAUCCGGAUUUAUUGGGUGUAAAGGGUGCGUAGACGGGAAAUUAAGUUAGUUGUGAAAUCCCUCGGCUUAACUGAGGAACUGCAACUAAAACUGAUUUUCUUGAGUACUGGAGAGGAAAGUGGAAUUCCUAGUGUAGCGGUGAAAUGCGUAGAUAUUAGGAGGAACACCAGUGGCGAAGGCGACUUUCUGGACAGUAACUGACGUUGAGGCACGAAAGUGUGGGGAGCAAACAGGAUUAGAUACCCCCGUA
rnacentral:rRNA from 1 species